rnacentral:lncRNA from 1 species
UGACAAGACAGCCCAAACAGAUCUAGGACCAGGCUAGGUAAUGACAAGACAGCCCAAACAGAUCUGGGACCAGGCUAGUGUUGCUUUGGAAACGCUGUGAUCAUAUUAACUGUGAAGUUAGCCCAUUGUUACGUCCUUAUGUCUGUUUUUACUUGAAGCAAGGAUACAUCCCAAAUGGCACCCUAUUCCCUAUGGGCCCUGUUUAAACAGUGCACUAUAAAAGGGAAUGGCUCCCUAUGGGCCCUGUUUAAACAGUGCACUAUAAAGGGAAGCGGGUGCCAUUUGAGAUGGAACCCAAGACGACGUGUAAAGUUGAAGCAUGAUCUGAUUAGUGUGAACUAAGUAUAAAGCUCUUUGUGAUUGUAUUUCCUCAUUAGAAGUGCAUUUUUUAAUAUAAACUUUGUUUUUCCCCCAUCUCGAAGAAUGUGAUGUUUUCAGUGGCAUUAAGUUUGUUAUAAAUGGGACAAAUAUACAAGGACCAUGAACUUUACAGAUCUUAUCAAGUGAAUUACUAUAUGCAGUAAAAAAAAUAUAAAAAAAAGUAGUUUUAAAAGAAAUGAUGGAACAUAGUUUGAAGCACCUUGUCCAGUGUAGGGAAAUGUUCUGUGUGUGUGUAGAAGACGGGUGUAUUCAUUCCGCUGAUUCUGUUGCAAAACGUUUCGACCUACCUGAAUUUGUCCAAUAGAAACUGUUUGUUUUUCCCCGUCCAUUUCAAUUCAGGCAGUAAAAUGAAAUGUCAAUCCCAAACCUGGCAGAAUUACAGCCAUGUCUUUGUGUGUAGCGAUUUAAAAAGGAAAGAUUCACUCAUUUUUGAUUGUUCUUGUGCAUCUCUGAACGAUGUUCGUAUCGGAGUUAGGAGAAAUACAGCUGGUAUGACAAGUUGAGUCACAACAUCGCAAGUCAAAAUGGGUGAAUCUUUCCUUUGUUUUAUAUGGGACAAACAUACAAGGACUGUGAAUUAUUACUACCUGCAUUAGUCCCUGAGUGUAACUAUUGUUCUUAUGCAGUGGUUUCAGAAUUGCCUUGAGUCUUUUGAAAUAAACAUGGACUUUGUUCACUCAGUGUGAGAUUAGAACUCUCUUGUUCUUUAUGCUCAUUGGUCCUUAUGACUGCAGUAACCUGA